CUACGGGAGGCAGCAGUGGGGAAUCUUGGACAAUGGGGGCAACCCUGAUCCAGCCAUGCCGCGUGAGCGAUGAAGGCCUUAGGGUUGUAAAGCUCUUUCAGCGGGGAAGAUAAUGACGGUACCCGCAGAAGAAGCCCCGGCUAACUCCGUGCCAGCAGCCGCGGUAAUACGGAGGGGGCUAGCGUUGUUCGGAAUUACUGGGCGUAAAGCGCACGUAGGCGGAUGCUUAAGUCAGGGGUGAAAUCCCGGGGCUCAACCCCGGAACUGCCUUUGAUACUGGGUGUCUGGAGGUCGAGAGAGGUGAGUGGAAUUCCUAGUGUAGAGGUGAAAUUCGUAGAUAUUAGGAAGAACACCAGUGGCGAAGGCGGCUCACUGGUCCGGUACUGACGCUGAGGUGCGAAAGCGUGGGGAGCAAACAGGAUUAGAAACCCCGGUAGUCC
rnacentral:rRNA from 1 species